rnacentral:RNase_P_RNA from 1 species
CGAGCUCGCCAGACAGUCGCCGCCGGUUUUCCGGGGGAGGAAAGUCCGGGCUCCACAGGGCAAGGUGCCAGGUAACGCCUGGGCGGCGCGAGCCGACGGAAAGUGCAACAGAAAGUAUACCGCCUAAGCGCCNUCGGGCGCCGGUAAGGGUGAAACGGUGCGGUAAGAGCGCACCGCGUGGCUGGCAACAGUCCACGGCGAUGGUAAACCCCACCUGGAGCAAGACCAAAUAGGAAUCCAAUGGCGUGGCCCGCGCUGGAUUCGGGUAGGUUGCUUGAGGUCUGUGGUGACGCAGACCCUAGAUGAAUGACUGUCCAAGACAGAACCCGGCUUAUCGGCGAGCUCGCUCU